rnacentral:misc_RNA from 1 species
ACGAAUUUCGAAUCGGUCUUCUGUGCUGGUGGCAACACAUGUGCACGUUGAUCGUAAUUCCAUUCUCCUUUCAAAUCGUCCAAGUAGUCGUUCGGUCGGCCCUUUGGGUCGAAGAAGCGUGGCCGUCAGGCUCGUUUCGUUCUGGGCGCACAUUGGUUAUUUCACCACCCACUCUGGGUACUCGAAACAAGAAAACCUAUCAUAUAAAUAAA